GGUUUUUUGAAAGUAAAUAAAAAAUCAGGCCUGCCCACUGAUAAAGGGCUGCAGUAUUUUGACUGUACAAAGGUAGCAUAAUCAUUAGUCUUUUAAUUAAGGACUGGUAUGAAAGGUUAGACGGAAGUAGACUGUCUCAAAUAUAAAGUUAAAUUUUAUUUUUAAGGAAAAGAGCUUGAAUAAGUCAAAGGGACGAGAAGACCCUAUUAAAUUUGAUAUAAUAAUUUAUUUUUAUUUAGAUAAAAAAAGUAAGUGGGUUUUAGUUUUGCUGGGGCGGUGUGUUUAUAACUUUAUUAGUUUUUAAUUUGGUAGAUAGCGUUUUUUUGAUCCGGAAAGAUUGAUAAUAGAUAAAAUUACUAUAGGGAUAACAGCGUAAUAUUUUUUGAGAGUUCUUAUUGACAAAAAUGUUUGCGACCUCGAUGUUGGAUUAAGAAUUCUUAUUGGUGUAGUAGUUUUUAAAGAAGGUCUGUUCGACCUUUAAAUUCUU
rnacentral:rRNA from 1 species